GAGAGUAGGCGUAGGCGGUUGCAGACUAGCCAAAUUGUGGCUAGUUUGAGGAAAGUCCGGGCUCCCGAAAGACCAAACUUGCUGGGUAACGCCCAGUGCGAGCGAUCGCGAGGAUAGUGCCACAGAAAGAUACCGCCAGAAAAAGGGACUGGGGACUAGGGACUAGGGACUGGGGACUAGGGAGGAAUUUUCCCAAUCCCCGAUCCCCGUUGCCCCUAAUCCCCUCCAGGGGCCGGUGAGUUCCCCAAGCCCCUUAUAUGGUAAGGGUGCAAAGGUGCGGUAAGAGCGCACCAGCAACACCGAGAGGUGUUGGCUCGGUAAACCCCGGUUGGGAGCAAGGCAAAUGGAACUACGGUUGGUCUUUUACCAGUUCUGCAAUCAGAGCCGCUAGAGACGUCUGGUAACAGCCGUCCCAGAUAGAUAACCGCCCUCUUGAAUUAAGAGAACAGAACCCGGCUUACUACCGACUCUCUGCU
rnacentral:RNase_P_RNA from 2 species